GACGAACGCUGGCGGCGUGCUUAACACAUGCAAGUCGAACGGAAAGGCCCUGCUUUUGUGGGGUGCUCGAGUGGCGAACGGGUGAGUAACACGUGAGUAACCUGCCCUUGACUUUGGGAUAACUUCAGGAAACUGGGGCUAAUACCGGAUAGGAGCUCCUGCUGCAUGGUGGGGGUUGGAAAGUUUCGGCGGUUGGGGAUGGACUCGCGGCUUAUCAGCUUGUUGGUGGGGUAGUGGCUUACCAAGGCUUUGACGGGUAGCCGGCCUGAGAGGGUGACCGGCCACAUUGGGACUGAGAUACGGCCCAGACUGCUACGGGAGGCAGCAGUGGGGAAUAGUGCACAAUGGGCGGAAGCCUGAUGCAGGAACGCCGGGUGCGGGAUGACGGCCGUCGGGGUGUAAACCGCUUUCGCCUGUGACGAAGCGUGAGUGACGGUAAUGGGUAAAGAAGCACCGGCUAACUACGUG
rnacentral:rRNA from 1 species